rnacentral:lncRNA from 1 species
CUGGAGUGAGACACCAUGAGGGACCGUGAAAUUCUAAAAACAAUCAGGAAAACAUGGAUUUUAGAAUGCCAAGCUGACAUUUUGAGUUUUUAUGAGAAACCAGAAAAUUUGGUGUGAAGACCCUAAGUGGUGUGUCUGACUUACAGCAGGCCCACAGUACCUGUUAUUGAGUGAGAUAAGCAAAUGGUAUUUCAGGACCAAAACAUCUGUUUCCUGAAGAGUUGCUCCUUUAAUUGUGUAUCUACCUACCUGUCUAUGUAACUCUUGGCAAAUACAUUGGAGACUUCUCAACUUUCUGCUUCUGAUGAUCUCAACUUGUGGUAUGGCAAAAGGAGAGCAAAAUGUUCACCCAGGAACGAGAAGUCCUGGCAGCUGAGUCAUGAUCCCCCAGGAGCCAUUAAGAAGUUAAUCUUCAGUCACUUCCAUCCAAACAGAAGAAAACCCAUGAAGGAUGAGAACUAUGGGUCCUGAGAAUGACAGAAGCAGAUCAAGAAACUGGCGAUUGAAGAGUAACUGAAAGAAACGCAAUCUGAUCUUACUAGCAGUGAAAGAGCGAGUCUCCCUCUGAUGCCGAGCAGAAGCUAGACUGUACUGCUGCCAUCUCAGCUCACUGCAACCUCCCUGCCUGAUUCUCCUGCCUCAGCCUGCUGAGUGCCUGCAAUUGCAGGCGCGCCGCCACGCCUGACUGGUUUUCGUAUUUUUUUGGUGGAGACGGGGAUUCGCUGUGUUGGCCGGGCUGGUCUCCAGCUCCUAACCGCGAGUGAUCCACCAGCCUCGGCCUCCUGAGGUGCCGGGAUUGCAGACGGAGUCUGGUUCACUCAGUGCUCAAUGGCGCCCAGACUGGAGUGCAGUGGCGUGAUCUCAGCUCGCUACAACCUCCACCUCCCAGCCGCCUCCCUUGGCCUCCCAAAGUGCAGAGAUUGCAGCCUCUGCCCGGCCGCCACCCCGCCUGGGAAGUGAGGAGCGUCUCUGCCUGGCCGCCCAUUGUCUGGGAUGUGAGGAGCCCCUCUGCCUGGCUGCCCAGUCUGGAAAGUGAGGAGUGUCUCUGCCUGGCCGCCAUCCCAUCUAGGAAGUGAGGAGCGCCUCUUCCCGGCCGCCAUCCCAUCUAGGAAGUGAGGAGCCUCUCUGCCCAGCCGCCCAUCGUCUGAGAUGUGGGGAGCGCCUCUGCCCCGCCGCCCCGUCUGGGAUGUGAGGAGCGCCUCUACCCCGCCGCGACCCCGUCUGGGAGGUGAGGAGCGUCUCUGCCCGGCGGCCCCGUCUGGGAAGUGAGGAGACCCUCCGCCCGGCAGCCGCCCCAUCUGAGAAGUGAGGAGCCCCUCUGCCCAGCAGCCACCCUGUCUGGGAAGUGAGGAGCGUCUCUGCCCAGCAGCCACCCCGUCUGGGAGGGAGGUGGGGGGUCAGCCCCCCGCCCGGCCAGCCGCCCCGUCCGGGAGGUGAGGGGCGCCUCUGCCCGGCGGCCCCUACUGGGAAGUGAGGAGCCCCUCUGCCCGGCCAGCCGCCCCGUCUGGGAAGUGAGGAGCGUCUCCGCCCAGCAGCCACCCCGUCCGGGAGGGAGGUGGGGGGAUCAGCCCCCCGCCCGGCCAGCCGCCCAGUCCGGGAGGGAGGUGGGGGGGUCAGCCCCCCGCCCGGCCAGCCGCCCCGUCCGGGAGGUGAGGGGUGCCUCUGCCCGGCCGCCCCUACUGGGAAGUGAGGAGCCCCUCUGCCCGGCCAGCCGCCCGGUCCGGGAGGGAGGUGGGGGGGUCAGCCCCCUGCCUGGCAAGCCGCCCCGUCUGGGAGGGAGGUGGGGGGAUCAGCCCCCCGCCGGGCCAGCCACCCCGUCCGGGAGGUGAGGGGUGCCUCUGCCCGGCCGCCCCUACUGGGAAGUGAGGAGCCCCUCUGCCCGGCCAGCCGCCCCAUCCGGGAGUGAGGUGGGGGGGUCAGCCCCCUGCCCGGCCAGCCGCCCCGUCCGGGAGGUGAGGGGCGCCUCUGCCCGGCCGCCCCUACUGGGAAGUGAGGAGCCCCUCUGCCCGGCCACCACCCCGUCUGGGAGGUGUACCCAACAGCUCAUUGAGAACGGGCCAUGAUGACAAUGGCGGUUUUGUGGAAUAGAAAGCGGGGAAAGGUGGGGAAAAGAUUGAGAAAUCGGAUGGUUGCCGUGUCUGUGUAGAAAGAGGUAGACAUGGGAGACUUUUCAUUUUGUUCUGUACUAAGAAAAAUUCUUAUCCUGUUGAUCUGUGACCUUACCCCCAACCCCGUGCUCUCUGAAACAUGUGCUGUGUCCACUCAGGGCUAAAUGGAUUAAGGGCGGUGCAAGAUGUGCUUUGUUAAACAGAUGCUUGAAGGCAGCAUGCUCGUUGAGAGUCAUCACCACUCCCUAAUCUCAAGUAACCAGGGACACAAACACUGUGGAAGGCCGCAGGGUCCUCUGCCUAGGAAAACCAGAGACCUUUGUUCACUUGUUUAUCUGCUGACCUUCCCUCCACUAUUGUCCUAUGACCCUGCCAAAUCCCCCUCUGCGAGAAACACCCAAGAAUGAUCAAUAAAAAAAUAAAAUAAAAUAAAAUAAAAUAAAAUAAAUAAAGUUUCAUGCGCAUCCGUGUGAAGAGACCACCAAACAGGCUUUGUGUGAGCAGCAUGGCUGUUUAUUUCACCUGGGUGCAGGCGGGCUGAGUCCGAAAAGAGAGUCAGCCAAGGG